ACGACGCUGGCGGCGUGCCUAAUACAUGCAAGUCGAACGGUCUUUUCUAUGGAAGCUUGCUUCCACUGAGAAGAUAGUGGCGAACGGGUGAGUAACACGUGGGUAACCUGCCCAUAAGAGGGGGAUAACAUCCGGAAACGGGUGCUAAUACCGCAUAGUUUUCUUGAUCGCAUGAUUGAGAAAGGAAAGACGGCCUUUGUGCUGUCGCUUAUGGAUGGACCCGCGGCGUAUUAGUUAGUUGGUGAGGUAACGGCUCACCAAGACGAUGAUACGUAGCCGACCUGAGAGGGUGAUCGGCCACAUUGGGACUGAGACACGGCCCAAACUCCUACGGGAGGCAGCAGUAGGGAAUCUUCCGCAAUGGACGAAAGUCUGACGGAGCAACGCCGCGUGAGUGAAAGAAGGUUUUCGGAUCGUAAAACUCUGUUGUCAGAGAAGAACAAGUUGGAGAGUAACUGCUCCAGCCUUGACGGUAUCUGACCAGAAAGCCACGGCUAACUACGUGCCAGCCGCGGC
rnacentral:rRNA from 1 species